rnacentral:rRNA from 1 species
UGGGCUGUAAAAAGCCAUAAGUAACACCAACCAUACAUCCUAACUUUACAACACCUUCAACUCGUGAAAGCAAGGACACAAACUAAGAUUAGAUACCUUACUAUGCCUAGCUAUAAAUAAACAAUCAAAUAACGAAUUGUUCGCCAAACAACUACGAGUGAAAACUUAAAACUUAAAAGACUUGACGGUACUUCACACCAACCUAGAGGAGCCUGUCUAACAACCGAUAAUCCACGAUUAACCCAACCACUCCUAGCCUAACAGUCUAUAUACCGCCGUCGCCAGCCUACCUUGUGAAAGUAAUAAAGUAGGCACAAUAGCACACAUGCUAAUACGACAGGUCGAGGUGUAACUAAUGGGGUGGAUAAGAUGGGCUACAUUUUCUACCACAGAACAGACGAACAGACCAUGAAACUGGGAACUGAAGGAGGAUUUAGCAGUAAGCCAAGAAUAAAAUACCUAGCUGAAAUAUGCAAUGAAGUGCGUACACACCGCCCGUCAUCCCUG